UGAUACCUACGGGACGCAGCAGUGGGGAAUAUUGCGCAAUGGACGAAAGUCUGACGCAGCGACGCCGCGUGAGGGAUGAAGGUUUUCGGAUCGUAAACCUCUGUCAGGAGGGAAGAAAGCGCAUGGCGCCAAUCAGCCAUGCGUUGACGGUACCUCCAAAGGAAGGGCCGGCUAACUCCGUGCCAGCAGCCGCGGUAAUACGGAGGGCGCGAGCGUUAAUCGGAAUUACUGGGCGAAGAGCGCGCGUGGUCUGUUGUGUAAGUUGGGGGUGAAAUCCCGCGG
rnacentral:rRNA from 1 species